UAACGCUGGCGGGUGCUUACACUGCAGUUAACGAAGCACUUAUUUGAUUGCCUUCGGAGACUGAUUAUUUAUGUGACUGAGUGGCGUGACGGGAUGAGUAACGCGUGGGUAACCUGACUUGUACAAGGGGAUAACAGUUGGAAACGGCUGCUAAUACCGCAUAAGCGCACAGCAUCGCAUGAUGCAGGGUGAAAAACUCUGGUGGUAUCAGAUGGACCCGCGUUGGAUUAGCUAGUUGGUGAGGUAACGGCCCACCAAGGGCGACGAUCCAUAGGCGAUGCUGAGAGGGUGACCGGACACAUUGGGACUGAGACACGGGCCAAACUCCUACGGGAGGCAGCAGUGGGGAAUAUUGCACAAUGGGCGAAAGCCUGAUGCAGCGACGCCGCGUGAGCGAAGAAGUAUUUAGGUAUGUAACAGCUCUAUCAGCAGGGAAGAUAAUGACGGUACCUGACUAAGAAGCACCGGCUAAAUACGUGCCAGCCGCCCGCGGUACUACGUAUGGUGCAAGCGUUAUCCGGAUUUAUUGGGCGCUAAGAGCUCGUAGGCGGAUCAACAAGUCGGUCGUGAAAGUCCAGGGCUCAACCCUGAAAUGUCGAUCGAUACUGUUGUGACUAGGCUACGGUAGAGGUGAGUGGAAUCCCGAGUGUAACGGUGACA
rnacentral:rRNA from 1 species